UUCUGGGAGUUGAAGUCCACAUAUCUUAAAAGUUGCUAAGGUUGAGAAACUCUGCUCUAGAACUAAACUGAAUGGCUGACCUGCAAUAUGGCACUUCAGAUCAAAAGUUA